rnacentral:lncRNA from 1 species
CUGAGAAACGUGAGUUUGUCAUCAUUUUUUAUCUAGACAUAGGAUAGGUUGUGUGAAAAUAUUACUGAUGUUUAACGUUAAAAAUGGACCAAAAGAUUAAUGCUAAACAACAUUUGACAUGUUUGAACGAACAUAAAUAGAUUAUUUACUAGGUUUUUUUAGCUUUUCGGCGUGAUUUUACCAGCCCCCCAACCACGUUUUGUGGGAGCAUAAUGAACGCUAAGUACUUGGUGUUAUUUGGACAUAAAUUAUGAACUUUGUCAAAAGAAAACACAUUUGUUCCGGACCUGGAAUGCCUUCCGGACCUGGGAUCCUGCCUUCUGAUGGAGAUAAUCAAAGUCCGGCUGGCUUAGAUCAUGUGCUAACAACACGGAGCUUUUUGGACAUAAAUGAUGAGCUUUUUUGAACAAAACUACAUUCGUUAUGGACCUGGGAUUCCUG